GUUAUUGUUUACUUUGACCACUUGCCUAUCUGCAAAAUUAGCAAAAGAUUUUUGUUUGAUCAAUGAAAGCUAGCCGUCCAUUACAUCUUCUUAGCGGUCAUGGAGGACUUUCUCAUGCUUUGAUGUUUUUUCCUACAAGUGUAAGUCAACUCCCUUUCUUUCUUUGUGGUUCAUGUUCCUCUGCCAGAUGACAAGGAGAUUGAGAGGAUGGUGUUGGAGAAGAAGAAAAUGGAGUUGUUGAACAAGUAUACAAGUGAUAUGUUGAUAGAGGAACAAAGUGAGGCUAAGGACAUGCUUAACAUCAAGAGUCGUAGAAGUAAUCACGUUGGAUAUGCACUUCAUCGUCUACAGUUUCCUCAGACUCCAACUGGGGAAAAGG